rnacentral:rRNA from 1 species
UACUCGAGUGGCGAACGGGUGAGUAACACGUGGGUGAUCUGCCCUGCACUUCGUGAUAAGCCUGGGAAACUGGGUCUAAUACCGGAUAGGAGCCAUUUUUAGUGUGAUGGUUGGAAAGUUUUUUCGGUGUAGGAUGAGCUCGCGGCCUAUCAGCUUGUUGGUGGGGUAAUGGCCUACCAAGGCGGCGACGGGUAGUCGGCCUGAGAGGGUGGACGGCCACAUUGGGACUGAGAUACGGCCCAG